rnacentral:rRNA from 1 species
CGGCGAGUGAAGCGGGAUGAGCUCAAAUUUAAAAUCUGGCGGUCUCAGAUCGUCCGAGUUGUAGUCUAGAGAAGCGUUUUCCGUGCUGGCCUGUGUACAAGUCCGUUGGAACACGGCGUCAUAGAGGGUGAGAAUCCCGUCCUUGACACAGAUCUCCAGUGCUUUGUGAUGCGCUCUCAAAGAGUCGAGUUGUUUGGGAAUGCAGCUCAAAAUGGGUGGUAAAUUCCAUCUAAAGCUAAAUAUUGGCGAGAAACCGAUAGCGAACAAGUACCGUGAGGGAAAGAUGAAAAGCACUUUGGAAAGAGAGUUAAACAGUACGUGAAAUUGUUGAAAGGGAAACGAUUGAAGUCAGUCAUGCUUUCCGAGACUCAGCCGGUUCUGCCGGUGUACUUCUCGGUUUGCAGGCCAGCAUCAGUUUUGGGCGGUGGAAAAGGUUGGCGGGAAUGUGGCAUCCUCGGAUGUGUUAUAGCCCGCUUUCGAAUACAUCGCCCGGGACUGAGGAACGCAGCACGCCUCUUGUAGGUCGGUCUUCGGACACGUCCGUGCUUAGGAUGCUGGCAUAAUGGCUUUAAACGACCCGUCUUGA